rnacentral:rRNA from 1 species
GACGAACGCUGGCGGCGCGCUUAACACAUGCAAGUCGAGCGAUGAAACUUUAACAGAACCCUUCGGGGCGAAGAUAAAGUGGAAUAGCGGCGGACGGGUGAGUAACACGUGAGUAACCUGCCUUAGACAUUGGGAUAGCCUCGGGAAACCGGGAUUAAUACCAAAUAAAAUCAUAAUGACACAUGUCAUAACGAUCAAAACUCCGGUGGUCUAAGAUGGACUCGCGUCCCAUUAGCUAGUUGGUAGAGUAAAAGCCUACCAAGGCGACGAUGGGUAGCCGGCCUGAGAGGGUGAACGGCCACAUUGGAACUGAGAAACGGUCCAAACUCCUACGGGAGGCAGCAGUGGGGAAUAUUGCACAAUGGAGGGAACUCUGAUGCAGCGACGCCGCGUGAACGAAGAAGGCUUUCGAGUCGUAAAGUUCUUUUAUAUGGGAAGAUAAUGACGGUACCAUAAGAAAAAGCCCCGGCUAACUACGUG